UACAGAGGGGGCAAGCGUUAUUCGGAAUUAUUGGGCGUAAAGGGCGCGUAGGCGGCCUUUCAAGUGACGGGUGAAAGCCCUCGGCUUAACCGAGGAACUGCCUGUCAGACUGGAAGGCUUGAGACCGGGAGAGGUGAGUGGAAUUCCCAGUGUAGCGGUGAAAUGCGUAGAUAUUGGGAGGAACACCAGUGGCGAAGGCGGCUCACUGGACCGGUACUGACGCUGAGGCGCGAAAGCGUGGGGAGCAAACAGGG
rnacentral:rRNA from 1 species